UAGGGAAUCUUCUGCAAUGGACGAAAGUCUGACGGAGCAACGCCGCGUGAGUGAUGAAGGUUUUCGGAUCGUAAAACUCUGUUGUUAGGGAAGAAUAAGUACGAGAGUAACUGCUCGUACCUUGACGGUACCUAACCAGAAAGCCACGGCUAACCACGUGCCAGCAGCCGCGGUAAUACGUAGGUGGCAAGCGUUGUCCGGAAUUAUUGGGCGUAAAGCGCGCGCAGGCGGUCCUUUAAGUCUGAUGUGAAAGCCCACGGCUCAACCGUGGAGGGUCAUUGGAAACUGGGGGACUUGAGUGCAGGAGAGAAGAGUGGAAUUCCACGUGUAGCGGUGAAAUGCGUAGAGAUGUGGAGGAACACCAGUGGCGAAGGCGACUCUUUGGCCUGUAACUGACGCUGAGGCGCGAAAGCGUGGGGAGCAAACAGGAUUAGAUACCCUGGUAGUCCACGCCGUAAACGAUGAGUGCUAAGUGUUAGAGGGUUUCCGCCCUUUAGUGCUGCAGUAAACGCAUUAAGCACUCCGCCUGGGGAGUACGGCCGCAAGGCUG
rnacentral:rRNA from 1 species